rnacentral:tRNA from 1 species
UUAAUUGAAGCCAAAAUUAGAGGCAUAUUAUUGUUAAUAAUAUCAAUGAAAAUUAUUUAUCCAAUUAAA